rnacentral:rRNA from 1 species
UACGUAGGUGGCAAGCGUUGUCCGGAAUUAUUGGGCGUAAAGGGCUCGCAGGCGGUCUUCUAAGUCUGAUGUGAAAUCUUGCGGCUUAACCGCAAGUGGUCAUUGGAAACUGGAGGACUUGAGUACAGAAGAGGAGAGUGGAAUUCCACGUGUAGCGGUGAAAUGCGUAGAGAUGUGGAGGAACACCAGUGGCGAAGGCGACUCUCUGGUCUGUAACUGACGCUGAGGAGCGAAAGCGUGGGGAGCGAACAGG